rnacentral:rRNA from 1 species
GGAGGAUCCGAGCGUUAUCCGGAUUUAUUGGGUUUAAAGGGAGCGUAGNNNGNNGGUUAAGNCUGUUGUGAAANGUNGGGGCUCAACCNGGGCAUUGCAGCUGANACUUGUUAUCUUGAGUGCAGUUGAGGNAGGCGGAAUUCGUNGUGUAGCGGUGAAAUGCUUAGAUAUCACGAAGAACUCCGAUUGCGAAGGCAGCCUGCUGUACNGCAACUGACACUGANGCUCGAAAGNGUGGGUAUCAAACAGGAUUAGAUACCCUGGUAGUCCACACGGUAAACGAUGAAUACUCGCUGUUUGCGAUAUACGGCAAGCGGCCAAGCGAAAGCGUUAAGUAUUCCACCUGGGGAGUACGCCGGCAACGGUGAAACUCAAAGGAAUUGACGG